rnacentral:rRNA from 1 species
UUNUUCAUUCAAAUUUUUCUGCCCUAUCAACUUUUGACGGUAGGAUCGAGGCCUACCGUGGUGUUGACGGGUAACGGGGAAUUAGGGUUCGAUUCCGGAGAGGGAGCCUGAGAGAUGGCUACCACAUCCAAGGAUGGCAGCAGGCGCGCAAAUUACCCAAUCCUGACACAGGGAGGUAGCGACAAGAAAUACCGAUAGAUAGCAUUNUNAUGUUAUCUUAUUGGCAUGACUUUGAUUUAAAAGUUGAAAGGAGUAACGAUUGGAGGGCAAGUCUGGUGCCAGCAGCCGCGGUAAUUCCAGCUCCAAUAGCGUACACGAACGUUGUUGCAGUUAAACGCCCGUAGUCGGAAAUGUGAGUGAUAGCAGUGAUUUUCUUUUUUUUUGAAAAAGAUGAUACUGCUAUGCUCAUAUUGAAAUGAGAAUGAUAAUGAUCUUGAUUGAUUGUUUAUUAUUUUUAUUUUUAUUUACUGUGAAAAAAUUAGAGUGUUUCAAGCGUUUCAUUUGAAAGGAUAGCGUAGCAUGGUAUAAUAGGCAAAUAUAAGAUUUUAUACUUGAGUAGGAGAGUAUAAAAUCUUUUCAAGUCAAUAGGGGUAGUUGGGGCCAUUUGUAUUCCAUAGUCAGAGGUGAAAUUCUUGGAUUUUUGGAAGACGAACGGAUGCGAAAGCGUUUGGCAAGGAUAUACCCAUUGAUCAAGGACGAAAGUUAGGGGAUCGAAGACGAUUAGAUACCGUCGUAGUCUUAACCAUAAACGUUGCCAUCUAAAAGAUGGUGUACUGAAAUAUAAUCGUACAUCCUUUUUUUCCGGGAAACCAAAGAUUUUGGGUUCUGGGGGGAGUAUGGUCGCAAGUCUGAAACUUAAAGGAAUUGACGGAAGGGCACCACCAGGAGUGGAGCCUGCGGCUUAAUUUGACUCAACACGGGGCAACUUACCAGGUCCGGACAUUUUUAUGAUUGACAGAUUGAUAGCUCUUUCAUGAUUGAAUGGGUGGUGGUGCAUGGCCGUUCUUAGUUGGUGGAGUGAUUUGUCUGGUUAAUUCCGUUAACGAACGAGACCUUUUCCUGCUAACUAGUAGCNAUAUUUUUUUUGNUAAAAUAUUGUCUACUUCUUAGAGGUACUAUUCGUUUUUCACGGAUGGAAGCUUUAGGCAAUAACAGGUCUGUGAUGCCCUUUGAUGUCCUGGGCUGCACGCGGGCUACACUGAUGCAUUCAAAGAGUGAACAAUAUCCUAUUCUGAAAGGAAUCUAGGUAAUCUUUUAACUUGCAUCGUGCUUGGGAUUGAAAACUGUAACUGUNUUNAUNANCNAGGAAUUCCUANUANGCGG